rnacentral:rRNA from 1 species
CUGCAACUCGCCUGCAUGAAGUCGGAAUUGCUAGUAAUCGCGGAUCAGCAUGCCGCGGUGAAUACGUUCCCGGGCCUUGUACACACCGCCCGUCACACCAUGAGAGCCGGUAAUACCCGAAGUCCGUAGCCUAACCUUUUAGGAGGGCGCGGCCGAAAGUAGGACUGGUAAUUAGGGUGAAGUCGUAACAAGGUACC